rnacentral:rRNA from 1 species
UGGGGGAAACCCUGAUGCCAGCCAUGCCCGCGUGUAGCGAUGAAGGCCUUCGGGUUGUAAAGCUCUUUUGGCAGGGAAGAAACUGUGGCUGGGCUCUAAUACCCCGAGAAACUGAGCUGGUUCCUGGACAAUAAGCGCCGGGUAACUACGUGCCAGCAGCCG